rnacentral:rRNA from 1 species
GACGUAGGGCGCGAGCGUUGUCCGGAUUUAUUGGGCGUAAAGAGCUCGUAGGUGGCUUGUCACGUCGGGGUGUGAAAGCUUGGGGCUUAACUCCAGGUCUGCAUUCGAUACGGGCUGGCUAGAGGUAGGUAGGGGAGAACGGAAUUCCUGGUGUAGCGGUGAAAUGCGCAGAUAUCAGGAGGAACACCGGUGGCGAAGGCGGUUCUCUGGGCCUUACCUGACGCUGAGGAGCGAAAGCGUGGGGAGCAAACAGG